rnacentral:rRNA from 1 species
UACGAAGGGGGCUAGCGUUGCUCGGAAUUACUGGGCGUAGAGGGCGCGUAGGCGGCGCGGGAAGUCAUCGGUGAAAGCUCAGGGCUCAACUCUGAGUCGGCCGGUGAUACUCUCGUGCUUGAGCACUGUAGAGGCAGGUGGAAUUCCGGGUGUAGCGGUGGAAUGCGUAGAGAUCCGGAAGAACACCGGUGGCGAAGGCGGCCUGCUGGGCAGUAGCUGACGCUGAUGCGCGACAGCGUGGGGAGCAAACAGG